GUGAUUGUGGUCAAUAGAAAGUCUACUCUAAUUAAUGAAGAAUCAGAGAAAGAAUAAUUUUCGUAACCAAUGAAAAAGUUUCCCUGAUUUCCAUAGUAUCUUUUUCAUCCAAAAAUCACGUGACCUCCCAUUAUAGCCUCAUCCAUUCACUUUCUGAGUCUCCCAAACUCCCUUUUAGAAAGAGAAAGUAGAGUUUUAGAGAGAGAGAGAGAGAGAGAGAGACAGAGAUGGAACCACCUUCGGCACAAACCAUGACCCAGGAAAGUGGACAGGACAAAAUUGUGGACGACUGUUGCUCUUGCUGCUAUGACUGCACAGACGGUUGUGUUGAUUUUUUUUGCUGUUAUUAGUUUUAUCGGACACUGUCAAUUUGUUUUUCUCUCUAGUACUUGUAAUAGUUUUAGAAUUGUGAUCUGUUUGGAUCCCCAAAAAACAUAUUUAAUGGAACGAUGAAAUGAAUUUCAAUUCCUAUGUUUGUUUC